UGCUGUCCCAGGAUGUGUGUAUGAGUCAUUGUCUGGAAAUCCAAGUGGCCAGAUGUCCGCCAGAUACAGCCGAGCCCCUGGAGCUGCUAACUCCAGCAGGAAGGGUUAGUUAGAACCCUGUGGCUGUUUCUCCUUCCCUGUGGAGGUGGCUGCAGGGCAGCAUUAACCGGAGGGCUCUGUCCCUUGCUGCUCCCCUCCAUCCCCCUGGAUUGCAGCCUGUGCAAAGCACAAGCGGACAAUGUUGCUGUAGUGUUUGUGUCGGGGAGUUUCUGGAGGGAGGCAGAGUCCUUCCUGGGAGACGUGUGUUGGUUUUGCAACCAAGACUGUGCUCUUCUACUAAAAAACUUCAUUUUUUCCGAGUCUUCAUGUUGCUGAGAAACCUGGUGGCAAUGCAGAAUGCAGGUGUUCUACUGCUGCAGACACUGGCACAUGAGACUUUUGUGGAAAGAAACCCAAUAAAAUAACUAGUGUUGAACUUAAUAAACUCUUUAAGAUGCUGUGAAACACCAGGGAGUCCUGUUUUGAGGAAGGUCGUUGUCUCUUCAGGAGAAAACCACGGCUUUCUAAGAAGAAUAUGGGACUAGGUCUAGCUGAUAACUUGGCCAAGGUUAGUGAUCUCUCUCCUUGCUUCAGAUCCACCUCCAGUCUGCCCCAUAGCUCUCAGCUGUGCCAUCAGCAGCCAGCUGAGUCUCACCAGCCUUCAUGGAUCAGGCUAUUUCCUCCCUUCUUGGAAAGGGGAAAUCAGCCAAAGCCCUCAAACUCUGCUGUGAUGAAUAAGGCACUGGAAGAAGCAGCUCUGAUUUAGGCCAACUCCCUCCUUCUCAGUACAGUUAUUCUAUGGGCACAUCGUUCACAUACAUGCCCACCUUGUGGGAUGUAUAGACUAGGGCUCCAUAAUACACUGCCACACUCUAGGAGCAAGGCAGAAAAACCUCUCUUUGUAUCUGUUCUAGAAGGCAUCUUGCUGGAAGGUGAGUCAGAGCAAUGGCACUGCAGGAGCCUGUUGUAAUUGCCAGAUUUAGGAUGCUGGCCUCUGAAUAAAUCUCUGCUUUUGCUUUGCUGGGCUAAUUCAGGCUUGAAAACUGAAGUGACAGCUUAUAGCCAGGCUUUUCAGUUUGGCUUGCCUAAGACUCUGCGUAUGUGUAUGUGUCUAAAUGCAAAUAAGCUGCUCCCAGAAAGCACAGAGUCAUGAAUGCUAAACUUCUUAUCUGCAUGGACUGAUGGGGUGAGCGACUGAAGACCCCAUAAAUUACCUUCUUUCUGCUCAGGGUGAAAGUAAGACUGGUGCUGUAGUCCCUGACAGCAAGGAAUGGCUCUGUUUCUGGUUGGACAGGUUUGAUUGGCCACUAAUUUACUCUCCCUCCUCUUGUAAUUCAACACAGCUUUCUUGGUGCGCUCUGCCAGUUCUCUCACCAAUUUGCUGCUAGGAAGAUUUUCCUGUGAGUGAAUUGUGGAUUCUAGUUAAAACAUGUACAGAGCACGCUUCUGCUUGAUGGCUCUGCUCUUAGAUGUCACAGGAAGAGACAGUGUUUUGUAUAACUGCAAGAAAAAUACCAUGUUCUAAUUAGUGUAAUUUAUAGUCCCUUGCAGGCUAAAACAACAGCUGAUGAGUCAUGGAAGUUCCUUCUUCUGACAUUUGCUGAAAGAAAUGUUAUUUUAGCUCUUAUGACUUUUUGGGGAGAGGGGAGGAGCAGGGUGGGGAGGGAGCAGUUGCUCUGAAAUGCUUCACCCCUUCUUCAGCGUCUACCUCCUGCAACGCGUUUCCUGUUUAAAGCUUUCUGCUGUGUUGCUCUGCAGUGAGGGAGCAGUGAUUAUGGCUACAUCUAAUUAUGGACAUGGUGGGUCCCAGUUUGAGUGUUCAUGUCUGGGUUGAAGUUCCUGAGCCAAUUGCAGUGGCUGGGACAGGAGGUUUCAGUACCUGCAAUACUGUCGUUGCUGAUGUAGCUGAGCAGACAGAAGACUGGACCCUAAGAUUCCCCAUCUCUAACUUAACACUUUGUGUAUCAGGAAUGUAUUCACUAUGGUCUCAGGUGAGGUCUGAGAGUAAUGUGGGAUGCUCAAGUCCGCUUUCAAGGAUGGUUUUACUACCAAGUUGCAAACUCUUUCUAUCCCUGUGAUCCAAGACUUUGUUCCAACUGGUCUCUGCAAACAUGAGACAGUUGGAUUAAAGCAAAGGUUUUCUCCAAA